AGAGCGGCGUACGGGUGCGUAACACGUGUGCAACCUACCUUUAUCAGGGGAAUAGCCUUUCGAAAGGAAGAUUAAUACUCCAUAAUAUAUUGAAUGGCAUCAUUCGAUAUUGAAAACUCCGGUGGAUAAAGAUGGGCACGCGCAAGAUUAGAUAGUUGGUGAGGUAACGGCUCACCAAGUCAAUGAUCUUUAGGGGUCCUGAGAGGGAGAUCCCCCACACUGGUACUGAGACACGGACCAGACUCCUACGGGAGGCAGCAGUGAGGAAUAUUGGACAAUGGGUGAAAGCCUGAUCCAGCCAUCCCGCGUGAAGGAUGACGGUCCUAUGGAUUGUAAACUUCUUUUGUAUAGGGAUAAACCUAGAUACGUGUAUCUAGCUGAAGGUACUAUACGAAUAAGCACCGGCUAACUCCGUGCCAGCAGCCGCGGUAAUACGGAGGGUGCAAGCGUUAUCCGGAUUUAUUGGGUUUAAAGGGUCCGUAGGCGGGCCGAUAAGUCAGUGGUGAAAUCUCAUAGCUUAACUAUGAAACUGCCAUUGAUACUGUCGGUCUUGAGUAAAUUAGAGGUAGCUGGAAUAAGUAGUGUAGCGGUGAAAUGCAUAGAUAUUACUUAGAACACCAAUUGCGAAGGCAGGUUACCAUGAUUUAACUGACGCUGAGGGACGAAAGCGUGGGGAGCGAACAGGAUUAGAUACCCUGGUAGUCCACGCCGUAAACGAUGCUAACUCGUUUUUGGGGCGCAAGCUUCAGAGACCAAGCGAAAGUGAUAAGUUAGCCACCUGGGGAGUACGUUCGCAAGAAUGAAACUCAAAGGAAUUGACGGGGGCCCGCACAAGCGGUGGAUUAUGUGGUUUAAUUCGAUGAUACGCGAGGAACCUUACCAAGGCUUAAAUGGGAAAUGACAGAUUUAGAAAUAGAUCCUUCUUCGGACAUUUUUCAAGGUGCUGCAUGGUUGUCGUCAGCUCGUGCCGUGAGGUGUUAGGUUAAGUCCUGCAACGAGCGCAACCCCUGUCACUAGUUGCUAACAUUAAGUUGAGGACUCUAGUGAGACUGCCUACGCAAGUAGAGAGGAAGGUGGGGAUGACGUCAAAUCAUCACGGCCCUUACGCCUUGGGCCACACACGUAAUACAAUGGCCGGUACAGAGGGCAGCUACACAGCGAUGUGAUGCGAAUCUCGAAAGCCGGUCUCAGUUCGGAUUGGAGUCUGCAACUCGACUCUAUGAAGCUGGAAUCGCUAGUAAUCGCGCAUCAGCCA
rnacentral:rRNA from 1 species